rnacentral:rRNA from 1 species
GAUGAACGCUAGCGGGAGGCCUAACACAUGCAAGCCGAGCGGUAGAGUUUCUUCGGAAACUUGAGAGCGGCGCACGGGUGCGUAACACGUGUGCAACCUACCUUUAUCUGGGGGAUAGCCUUUCGAAAGGAAGAUUAAUACCCCAUAAUAUAAUGAUUGGCAUCAAUUAUUAUUGAAAACUCCGGUGGAUAGAGAUGGGCACGCGCAAGAUUAGGUAGUUGGUGAGGUAACGGCUCACCAAGUCAAUGAUCUUUAGGGGUCCUGAGAGGGAGAUCCCCCACACUGGUACUGAGACACGGACCAGACUCCUACGGGAGGCAGCAGUGAGGAAUAUUGGACAAUGGGUGAGAGCCUGAUCCAGCCAUCCCGCGUGAAGGAUGACGGUCCUAUGGAUUGUAAACUUCUUUUGUACAGGGAUAAACCUACCCUCGUGAGGGUAGCUGAAGGUACUGUACGAAUAAGCACCGGCUAACUCCGUG